UACAGAGGUCUCAAGCGUUGUUCGGAUUCAUUGGGCGUAAAGGGUGCGCAGGCGGCCAUGUGUGUUAGGUGUGAAAGCCCGAGGCUCAACCUCGGAAUUGCGCCUGAAACUACAUGGCUAGAGUACUGGAGAGGGUAGCGGAAUUCAUGGUGUAGCAGUGAAAUGCGUAGAUAUCAUGAGGAACACCAGAGGCGAAGGCGGCUACCUGGACAGUUACUGACGCUCAGGCACGAAAGCGUGGGGAGCAAAAGGG
rnacentral:rRNA from 1 species